CCGCAUUUCUUCAUAUCACAAGAACAGGAGCCUUGAAAGAGCAGCCUAGUUGAAGAUGGUAUUUCAAAAUGGUAGAUGUUAGACUGCAAUCGAAGAAGCUGCAGCAGCAGGAUUGCUAAGCCACGUAGAAG